AAGUCGUAACAAGGUAACCGUAGGUGAACCUGCGGUUGGAUCAUUAAUGAAAUCUUACUAAAGAAAAUUGAGUAGUCAAAUACUUAUUUUCUUUAAAAAGGAAAAAGAAAAAGAGAGAGGGAGUCAAAGCAAUUUUGAUAUACCUCUUUUCUUUUUCUUCUUUUCUGAACCCAUUUGUGAAUUGUUAUUUUGUCCAUUGGUCAAACAAUUGAAUAUGGUCUCUAUUAUAGAGACUUAUUUUGUUUGGCCAGUCAAGUAGAAAACCUUAGUCACAAAACUUAGUUUAUCAUUUCAAAAAAAAAAUGAAACAACUUUUGACAACGGAUCUCUUGGCUCUC
rnacentral:misc_RNA from 1 species